UCCCAUUUUUGUUCUUGGCAUGACAUUGGUCUUUGCUCUGGUCGGAGCAAUAUUCAUCGAAGAAAUCAAUCAUGCUUGGACUAUUUGAUUGAUGUACAACUUAUGACGAUAGCCGUGAGGACCCGGACAGGGCAGGUGAAACCCCAGCCACUGACUCAGUAUCACAAGACCUUCAAAUGCUUCCAUUUUACGCUUACUAUAAGGAUCCUUUUCAAUGGGGAGAACAUGUGUAGAUGUUUGGAUCUGGAACAAUUGAGCUAACUGACUGUUGUUUGAGAUUGACCGUGUCUACUAUUAUCAGCACCAACAAAUGUUUUUAUUCAUCGUGUGACCAUUUUAUUAUUCCACACAGAAAAACAAGGUGGGAGCUUGUUGUGGGAGGCACAACAGGUCGCUCGAGCCGGAGAAGGCUGAUUGUUAUUCCACACAGGUACAAGUAUUGGAGCAUGAGCACAGCUGAUUGCAAAUAGAUAAUGCUUAAUUCAGUGAUUAAUGAGUAUUGCAACAUAUUUACAAGUUGAACUACUUUACAAGCGGAGUUGUGUGGAGUGGAUCAGAGUAGAGAUGAAGACAAAUCCUGAUGCAGAGCCAAAUGCGCUCAUCCCACUUGUAGUAAUGUUGGUCAUAACAUGUGAGACGUAUGUUGUGUAUGAACAGUAUGAUCAAGUGGCCAGGGCGGUGGGGCAGAAUGGAGGCUCUAGCAUGUGGAAAGUCUUUUGAGCAAUAUAUACUUUCCGCAUUCUUCUGUGAUUGUGGUUUUCAAGUCACGGUGUAUAUACAUUUUCUAUGCUAUAUAUCUCCGUCCAGUGAAAAUAUACAAUAUCUUAGGUGUUUGUUAGUGGUGAUUAUUUCUAGCAUAUGAUAGGUCAGGUGAUGUUGAAGUUAUGUAACUAUCAAGUGAAGGAAAAAUGUUUGUCACACAGCUAUGAGAAAUAACCAGUGUAGUUUCCGUCCCUUUCUUGAAAACGGGUAGAA